rnacentral:rRNA from 1 species
ACAAAGGUUUGGUCNUGACUUUUCUGCCAGCUCUAGCUAAACUUUACACAUGCAAGUAUCCGCGCCCCCGUGAGAAUGCCCUAUAGUUCCCUGCCCGGAAACAAGGAGCUGGUAUCAGGCACAUUUAACAUGCCCACGACACCUUGCUCAGCCACACCCCCAAGGGUACUCAGCAGUGAUAAACAUUGACACAUAAGUGAAAACUUGACUCAGUUAAAGCUAAGAGGGCCGGUAAAACUCGUGCCAGCCACCGCGGUUAUACGGGAGGCCCAAGUUGUUAGAAAUCGGCGUAAAGGGUGGUUAAGAACAAGCUUAAAAUUAAAGCCGAACGCCUUCUAGGCUGUUAUACGCAUCCGAAGGUAAGAAGCCCAAUCACGAAAGUAGCUUUAUAUUUUCUGACCCCACGAAAGCUAAGAUACAAACUAGGAUUAGAUACCCUAUUAUA